CCUACGGGCGGCAGCAGUGGGGAAUAUUGGACAAUGGGCGAAAGCCUGAUCCAGUCAUGCCGCGUGUGUGAAGAAGGCCUUCGGGUUGUAAAGCACUUUCAGUGGGGAAGAAAGCCUUGGGGCUAAUACCCUCGAGGAAGGACAUCACCCACAGAAGAAGCACCGGCUAACUCCGUGCCAGCAGCCGCGGUAAUACGGAGGGUGCGAGCGUUAAUCGGAAUUACUGGGCGUAAAGCGCGCGUAGGCGGUCUGAUAAGCCGGUUGUGAAAGCCCCGGGCUCAACCUGGGAACGGCAUCCGGAACUGUCAGGCUAGAGUGCAGGAGAGGAAGGUAGAAUUCCCGGUGUAGCGGUGAAAUGCGUAGAGAUCGGGAGGAAUACCAGUGGCGAAGGCGGCCUUCUGGACUGACACUGACGCUGAGGUGCGAAAGCGUGGGUAGCAAACAGGAUUAGAUACCCCUGUAGUC
rnacentral:rRNA from 1 species